UACGUAGGGGGCAAGCGUUGUCCGGAAUCAUUGGGCGUAAAGAGCGUGUAGGCGGCUCGAUAAGUCUGCUGUGAAAGUCCAGGGCUCAACCCUGGAAGGCCGGUGGAAACUGUCGGGCUAGAGUCCGGAAGAGGCGAGUGGAAUUCCCGGUGUAGCGGUGAAAUGCGCAGAUAUCGGGAAGAACACCAACGGCGAAGGCAGCUCGCUGGGACGGUACUGACGCUGAGACGCGAAAGCGUGGGGAGCGAACAGG
rnacentral:rRNA from 1 species